GAGCGAAGGUACUCGCAUGCAUACCGGCCUUGUUACACACACACACACGCACGCACAUCUUCGAAACCGCAUACAUACACAGACACGUACAGCGCACGUGCACGCAGACGUACAUCGAUCGCGCGCACAUCUGCCGUUGCACACACUAACCGCUUUCCUCGUAAAUCUCACGGACACGCGUGCGUGCACCUAUCCGCCUCACCCUGCACUUUUAGCUGCUUGAGAGUCUUACGUGCGUUGAGCUCCUGUAGUCCUCUAUUACGCGCCGCACCCCUCUUACACGCCCGAGCACACACACACACACACACACACACACACACACACACCUUCAAACCUUUCCGCGUUCGAGACGCCUGCGUUGGUGUCUAGUGGCGCUGCGCUGCUCCGUGUAUCUCUGCCGUCUCCCUUGGUCUGUCACGUCAUCUCACCUCUCUUGUUCAACUCGCACCACUGUUCGGGUUGCAGCUCGGAGCGCACGCAGCGAAGGGACUGGGGCGGGAGUGAAGGAGGAGGCGAGGGGGGGGCGUCAGCAGCGACGGUUUCGAGGUGGUUGCGAGCUCUUCAUCCUCGGCGUCUCCCGUGUCGACCUUGCGGUGCCUCUUCCUUGGGUCGGCCGAUAUCAUAGCGCCCAUUCUUUGAAGUCUUCCCAAUAGACACGAAACACCUCUCUACACCGUGUGGCCCUCGGCCGCGUAAAAAAAAAGCCGUGCGUGAAGGGCGAUCACGAGCAGCGGGAACGGUAGCAGGACUGCGCACGCAGCGCAUUCCAGUGCACGCACCUACGCCCACGUGCGCUUUUUUUGUAAGCGGAGAAAACACCCCUUGAAGGGGCCAUGGACGUGAAGCUGGGCACCAUCAUCAGCCGCUUCGCUUUCACCUUUCCCAGCCUCUACGAUGAUGGCCGUGACGGCCACGACGCCGCGGUAUCCUCUUCAGAAGACGCGGACGCCGAGGAGAGCUGUGGCGUUGCGUUCACCAGCGGUGCACGUUGUGAUGAAUCCCGAAAGACCGCAAAGACGACGCAGACCGGCUCGAGAUCACACGCCACGCGGUUGGGCGCGCCCGCGUCACCGACGGAGAAGCUGGACAUCACAGGCGCAUACGCGUUCGUGAGUGACGGCGGGGCUGCUUCGUCCGUGUCGCUGACCGCAUCACCACCACCUAUUCUCGGUCGUGCUGCUGCCCGCGGCGACCGCGGAAACAGCACCGUCGCGCCGCCUCAGCACGGCGUUGGGGACCGCGGGGAUGGCGCUGUGCGGUGUGGUACGCCGCUGCACCUACCUGAUCUUGUGCAGCUGGCGGCGCAUGCUUGGAACGUGGAGCUUCACCGCGGAUCUACGGGAGCUGCGAGUCACUGCGUGCUGCGGCUGCCCCCGUUUGCCCUCGGCAGGACCCUCUACCGCGGCCCGGUGGUGUACGUGCUGGCAUCUGGGGUGGUGCGCAUGGCGACGCACGGCAGCGUGGCUGCAACGGAGCUGCUCGCCCGGCGCGUCCGUGACGCGCUGCACGAGGCCUGCAAACCGUUGGCAGUGCGCAGAGCAGCCCGGGAGGAGCUGCUCUUGAUGCGGGCAGUGCUGGAAGACUCUCUCUCGGACAUGCUGGAGGACGAAGGCGGCGAAGAGGGGCGUGCGCGACACCUCUGCACUGCUGUGCUCAAAGCCGAGGCGAAGCUACCUAGCCGCGGCAUGCCGCUGGCGACCGCGCUGGCCGGAGAUACAGCGACGAGCAGCCAACACGGGCGCAGGGCCGCCUUUGGAUCUUCGUCGACUGCUGCUAGAGUAGGGUCCUUGGCGCAUGACAAGGCGGGCCACGGUCCGCUAACACUCGUCUCGACUCCAUUGGUGCACUCUGCGAGGGCGUGCAAGAUCGACUUUUUACAAGCGGUGGCGACCCCGCGCUGGGACGAGAUCGCCGGCCUGCGUGCCUCGCUCUUCGCGCCAGCCUCAGCAGCCCCUGGCAGUGAGCACAUCAACAGCGGCGGCGGCGUGGCCAAGGUGGAUCGGGACGCCGAAGGAGCCCCCCGCGUAUCGGUGCGACGUGCGAGUGUAAACGUUCGCGGUGAUGCGCCGAUGGAGUGGUGGCGGUGGUACCUCGGCGUGCAGGCCGACGAUCACGGCGUGGGUGGAGGCGAUGGCAGUGGCGUUGCCCGUCGUGGGGGAGGAGCCACGUCGGCUGCUGCCGCGAAUUCGGAGAAGCCCUUUCUAGGAGACCGUAGUGGGGUGCCACGGCUGGGGCCCGGGCUCAGCGGCGAUGCAUCCGAAGGAGGCAACGCAGAUGCUCGCAGUUCCAACAAGACGACGGGCUUCUGGACCUGCGCUGGGUACACGGACGCAUCUCCGGAGAAUGCCGCGAAGUUUGUGCGCUUCCUGCAGCGUCGACGAGCGUUGCUGGCACAACAUGUCGCUUCCUUCAAGCUGCGCCGCCAAGCCACCCAGAACAGCCUUCAAAUCCUGCUGGACUGGCGAACAGCCACCCCGCCGUCACCACCAGCACCACCACCGCCUCUCUCUGCAGCAGCAGCGCCGCUCGUGGGACGCCCUCCACUCGCUCGAGCGUUGGUGGGGCAUCUGACGGCGGUGGCACAGCCGCUGAUAGACUCCGGCACGCCAUCUGUGCCUGCUGCUCCGGCUAGGACCAGCACCAGUGGCAACGCUUGGGUGACGGAGGCGAGUGCGGCAAACUUCUUCAUGGAGUCGACCUUCAUUGCCGAGUCCACGGCGCCGUAUGGGCUGGAGAGUGUGCGGAUGCCAACGGAUAGGAUAUCAUCCGCCGACCCAGCGCUGCCGGCCAGCAUGGUUUUGGGCGACGGGAACGUGGAAAACCCUUGUGGCAGCACGGCUCUCACGCCGGACAGUGGUCGUGGCAGCAUGUCUGCGUUGCUCGAACCCAAUGUAGGCCACUCUGCCCUGCGCUACGGCAGCAGCAGCAACAAGGACGACAGGACCGCGACCAAGGCUGCACCCGAAAAUCGCAAGCGCGGAGUCGCGGCGGCACAGGCAUCGGCGGCAAAGAGAGAUGAGGCUGCGGCUGCGGCGAUGGAGCAUGUGACGUGCCUUAUCCACCGCACUGGCCGUGUGCAGAUGACCGCCGCUUCGGAGCUGGCGCUACGACAGGUGUGUGCCAUGCUGCUCAUUCCUUUCUUGGUCGCUACGGCGGAGGUGGAGUUGUGACGCACGAGACACAUAGUCUCGAUUACGUACCUUCUCUCUCCACACCCGAACUUUCUUGGGGAUGCAUGCGUGAUAUGCCUGGCAAGGAAAUGACCACCGCGCUCACCAUCAACACCUUGCAUUGUCGCCGUCAUGAUCGGCGCUCUCCGAGUCUGCGUUGUCUGUG
rnacentral:misc_RNA from 1 species